rnacentral:rRNA from 1 species
CAGUCGCCACGGUAAUACGUAGGGUGCAAGCGUUAAUCGGAAUUACUGGGCGUAAAGCGUGCGUAGGUGGUGGUUUAAGUCCGUUGUGAAAGCCCUGGGCUCAACCUGGGAAUUGCAGUGGAUACUGGGUCACUAGAGUGUGGUAGAGGAUAGUGGAAUUUCCGGUGUAGCAGUGAAAUGCGUAGAGAUCGGAAGGAACAUCUGUGGCGAAGGCGACUAUCUGGGCCAACACUGACACUGAGGCACGAAAGCGUGGGGAGCAAACAGGAUUAGAUACCCCUGUAGUCCCUGUCUCUUAUAC